ACUUGAAAUGUGACUCCCAGCGAGACACCUACCCUUGACGCUCCCUGGACAGUGCGGCACGGUCGGGCCCACUAACCAAGGCAAUUUGCGCCCGACCGAAUCAGGUGCUUCAAAAUCCCCCCUGGUGAGCCGCGCGUUAACCACACAUAAAACAGUCAACGCAGAAGGAGCGAGAACGUUCGGCCGAAAAGCCCGGCACAGAGAAGGGAGGGGUGCUGAAAGCCGCGGACUGCAGCCGCUGGCCUGGCUGCCGCCCCGAAACAACGCCCACGCCCGGGAGAAGGGCAGGCUGGCGUCCAGUGACAAAGCAUAAAUCAUGGACACCAGAGAAUAAGGUGGACCUCAGGAAUCCGGAAAAGACUGAGAAGCUUACAUUCUUCCUCUAGAGGGAAGAGUGGGGUGUUUAUAGCCAUCUCUGGAACCUAAAACAAAAAACAUGAGUUGUGUGCCAUGGAAAGGAGACAAGGCCAAAUCUGAAUCAUUGGAGCUGCCCCAGGCAGCACCCCCACAAAUCUACCAUGAGAAACAGCGCAGGGAGCUUUGUGCCCUCCACGCCCUCAAUAACGUCUUCCAGGACAGCAAUGCCUUCACCCGGGAUACGCUGCAAGAGAUUUUCCAGAGGU
rnacentral:lncRNA from 1 species